GAUGAACGCUGGCGGCGUGCUUAACACAUGCAAGUCGAACGGAAAGGCUCCUGCUCGUAGGGGUACUCGAGUGGCGAACGGGCGAGUAACACGUGGGUGAUCUACCCUGCACUUCGGGAUAAGCCCUGGAAACUGGGUCUAAGACUGGAUCGUACUGUGGCUUGGAUGCCAUUGUGGAAAGUUUUUCGGCGUGGGAUGAGAUCGGGGCCUAUGAGCUUGUUGGUGGGGUAAUGACCUACCAAGGCUUCGACGGGUAACCGGCCUGAGAGGGUGUACGGCCACAAUAGGACUGAGAGACGGACCAGACUCCUACAGGAGACAGCAGUGGGGAAUAUUGCACAAUGGGGGCAAGCCUGAUGCAGCGACGCCGCGUGGGGGAUGACGGCCUUCGGGUUGUAAACUCCUUUCGCUAGGGACGAAGCGCAAGUGACGUUACCUGGAGAAGAAGCACCGGCUAACUACGUG
rnacentral:rRNA from 1 species